rnacentral:rRNA from 1 species
CUUGCACAGGUGCUGCAUGGCUGUCGUCAGCUCGUGUCGUGAGAUGUUCGGUUAAGUCCGCUAACGAGCGCAACCCUCGCUGUGUGUUAUAUGUGUCACGCGGGACUGCCGGUCUUAAGCCGGAGGAAGGUGGGGAUGAUGUCAAGUCAGCAUGGCCUUUAUAUCCUGGGCUACACACACGCUACAAUGGCCAACACAAUAGGUUGCUAAGCCGCGAGGUGGCGCCAAUCCAUAAAGUUGGUCUCAGUUCAGAUUGUAGGCUGCAACCCGCCUGCAUGAAGAUGGAGUUGCUAGUAACCGCAGGUCAGCUAUACUGCGGUGAAUACGUUCCCGGGGCUU